rnacentral:misc_RNA from 1 species
UCUUUCUUCAAAUGAAGUUCAAGGUGACCUAUAUUUUCUGCAUGUUUCUAUCAGUUGGCAACUUGGCAUCAUCAUUGAAUAAUCUGUAUGUUCUGUUUCAUUUUGCACCUAGCACUAUUGCAUUGAUAAUGGGAUUUGUUGUUUGUUAUUUCCAUCCUGGAAAUGAGCAGAAUGUGUUUGUUAUAAAUAAAAAACUACAACGUUAUGCUUUUGCUUACUGAGUUUAUUUUGCCAGUGGAUGAAUUAGUCGAAGUUCAUUGUUGCUGCUAAUGAUGAUAAAAGUGCAACUUGAUAAUUUGUUACAAGCAAAGCCAGUACAUAAAAUAUUUGAACUGCCAGGGAAUUAGUUACACAAGCAUG